GUAUUAGAUCUGGUUGUUGAGUGGAGAGGUAGAGGUUGAGGUUGAGGGUGAGAGUGAGUAGCAGAGAGUGCACAAAAAAUGCGUCUAUUCGAUCCAUGGCCUGUCUUUUUCAAGCGAGAAUGGAAGCGGAACUGGCCCUUCUUGGUUGGAUUCGCCAUCACCGGAACCAUAAUCACCAAAUUUUCUCUCGGUCUCUCUGAGGAGGAUGCCAAAAACUCAAAGUUCGUCCAGGCGCACAAGAGGUGACUUUGGAAUGGAAGAUUUGCAUUGACUUUGCACAUUGUAUUAGAUGUGUGAAGAGAGCUUUGCUUGUUUCAGUUUUACAAAUUGUAAUAAAUGAAGAGAGAUGUUGUAUACACUCCAUGAUCCUAUUUUCAUUUUGAUUGUUUACUAAUGUGAUUGAAAAUUCAUACUAAGCAGUUCUGAAUCAAUGAAUUCACUGUAUGAUUAAUUUAAUUUGAUAAUUGAUGUGAACUUGGGGUUUUA